CCUACGGGGGGCUGCAGUAGGGAAUAUUGCUCAAUGGGGGAAACCCUGAAGCAGCAACGCCGCGUGGAGGAUGAAGGUUUUAGGAUUGUAAACUCCUUUUGUUAGAGAAGAUUAUGACGGUAUCUAACGAAUAAGCACCGGCUAACUCCGUGCCAGCAGCCGCGGUAAUACGGAGGGUGCAAGCGUUACUCGGAAUCACUGGGCGUAAAGAGUGCGUAGGCGGGGUAAUAAGUCAGAUGUGAAAUCCUGUAGCUUAACUACAGAACUGCAUUUGAAACUGUUACUCUGGAGUGUGGGAGAGGUAGGUGGAAUUCUUGGUGUAGGGGUAAAAUGCGUAGAGAUCAAGAGGAAUACUCAUGGCGAAGGCGACCUGCUGGAACAUUACUGACGCUGAUGCACGAAAGCGUGGGGAGCAAACAGGAUUAGAUACCCUUGUAGUC
rnacentral:rRNA from 1 species